UGGGGAAUAUUGCACAAUGGACGGAAGUCUGAUGCAGCAACGCCGCGUGCGGGAUGACGGCCUUCGGGUUGUAAACCGCUUUUUCUCAUGACGAAGUUUUUUGACGGUAGUGGGGGAAGAAGCACCGGCUAACUACGUGCCAGCAGCCGCGGUGAUACGUAGGGUGCGAGCGUUGUCCGGAAUUAUUGGGCGUAAAGAGCUUGUAGGCGGUUUGUCGCGUCGGUAGUGCAAACUCAGUGCUUAACGCUGAGCCUGCUGUUGAUACGGGCAGACUAGAGGAAGGUAGGGGAGAAUGGAAUUCCCGGUGGAGCGGUGGAAUGCGCAGAUAUCGGGAGGAACACCGGUGGCGAAGGCGGUUCUCUGGGCAUUUCCUGACGCUGAGAAGCGAAAGCGUGGGGAGCGAACAGG
rnacentral:rRNA from 1 species